rnacentral:rRNA from 1 species
UACGUAGGGGGCUAGCGUUGUCCGGAAUCAUUGGGCGUAAAGAGCGUGUAGGCGGCUUGGUAAGUCCGCUGUGAAAGUCCAGGGCUUAACCCUGGAAAGCCAGUGGAAACUGUCAGGCUAGAGUCCGGAAGAGGUGAGUGGAACUCCUGGUGUAGCGGUGAAAUGCGCAGAUAUCAGGAAGAACACCAAUGGCGAAGGCAGCUCACUGGGACGGUACUGACGCUGAGACGCGAAAGCGUGGGGAGCGAACAGG